rnacentral:rRNA from 1 species
GACGAACGCUGGCGGCGUGCCUAAUACAUGCAAGUAGAACGCUGAAGAGAGGAGCUUGCUCUUCUUGGAUGAGUUGCGAACGGGUGAGUAACGCGUAGGUAACCUGCCUUGUAGCGGGGGAUAACUAUUGGAAACGAUAGCUAAUACCGCAUAACAAUGGAUGACACAUGUCAUUUAUUUGAAAGGGGCAAUUGCUCCACUACAAGAUGGACUUGCGUUGUAUUAGCUAGUAGGUGAGGUAAUGGCUCACCUAGGCGACGAUACAUAGCCGACCUGAGAGGGUGAUCGGCCACACUGGGACUGAAACACGGCCCAGACUCCUACGAGAGGCAGCAGUAGGGAAUCUUCGGCAAUGGGGGCAACCCUGACCGAGCAACGCCGCGUGAGUGAAGAAGGUUGUCGGAUCGUAAAGCUCUGUUGUAAGUCAAGAACGGGUGUGAGAGUGGAAAGUUCACACUGUGACGGUAGCUUACCAGAAAGGGACGGCUAACUACGUG